rnacentral:misc_RNA from 1 species
UCACGGACAGCAAGAAUUAGUUCAGAAUUUGAUUCUUGUGUCUUCUGAAGUUGUAUCUGAAGAUUGGCAUUAAGGUCCUUCUGAUAAUUCAACUCUUGCCUAAGCUCAUCUACAAGAGCUUGAAUAUCUCCAUUGUCGUAAAUCAACUUGUCUUUGGACCUUGUAUCAUCCAUCCGUCUCUGCGAGGCUUUAUAUUUAUCGCAUUCUUCCUUGAGAGCAUCUCGUUCCUCUUUCAAGCUAGUUACCUCUUUUGAUAGGUCCAUUCCCCUUUUGCUCUCCCUGACUAUCUGUUUCCGAAGAGUCUGUAGUUCCAAAUCUGUCAUGUCUGCCUGCCUAGCCAUAGCGAUGAGAUCUGUUUUGAGCUUUUCAACAACAUCUGAGUCCUCUUGUGAUGUUAAUGUUAGAAGAAGGGCUUCUUUCGGAGUGCCUGCAGAAGCAUCUGUACUUGCUUCAAAAGCAGAACCUCCCAUCCACUCCCAUUGUACAUCCGGACUUUCUUCAUGAACUGUUGUUGAGACAUUGCUAUUUUGCUUGAAG